rnacentral:rRNA from 1 species
UACGUAGGGGGCAAGCGUUGUCCGGAUUCAUUGGGCGUAAAGAGCGUGUAGGCGGCCAGGUAGGUCGGUUGUGAAAACUGGAGGCUCAACCUUCAGAGGUCGACCGAAACCAUCUGGCUAGAGUCCGGGAGAGGAGAGUGGAAUUCCUGGUGUAGCGGUGAAAUGCGCAGAUAUCAGGAAGAACACCCGUGGCGAAAGCGGCUCUCUGGAACGGUACUGACGCUAAGACGCGAAAGCGUGGGGAGCAAACAGG